UAUGUGAGAGGGAAAGGAGUUCCAGAGCAAGGUUUUCGCGAGGCCCCUCUGCGUCUGGGUUCUGCAGUCAGGCGAGCCCCCAGAUGGAAUUCCAGCCAACGGCAGAACUGAAAUCACUAGACACAGCCUGACCUGAGGCUCCACUGUUCCACAGACCACGCUGACUCAGAGCUGUGAGACCGGCUGAACUUCAUGAGAUAUACAGGAAAUCCAGUUGCAUGAGGCUAACCCUUCUACCGAAUGGCUGACUGCAAUGACCGCUGUGCAAGUGAAGCUGAGAAGAGAUAAGUUUUGGAGCUUCUGCAGCCAUCAUGUGAGUUUGAGGGGAGAGCCUGCCUAUGAAUGAGCCAACACCCAUGGAGAGAAAACACUCGUGAGAGAAAAGCCAACAGGUGUACAUAGAGAAAGCAGUGGCCUUACAGCACCAUCUGAGCCUACCAUUUAGCAGCACAAGACAGCCCCACCUCUGUGCUUUUUA